rnacentral:rRNA from 1 species
UACGGGGGGGGCAAGCGUUGUUCGGAAUUACUGGGCGUAAAGGGCGCGUAGGCGGUUUGCUAAGUUGGAUGUGAAAACUCUGGGCUUAACCCAGAGCCUGCAUCCAAAACUAGCAGGCUAGAGUUCUGGAGGGGAUAGCGGAAUUCCUGGUGUAGCGGUGAAAUGCGCAGAUAUCAGGAAGAACACCCGUGGCGAAGGCGGCUCUCUGGGACGGUACUGACGCUGAGACGCGAAAGCGUGGGGAGCGAACAGG